CCCGCGCUUUCUCCCGCAGUACUGGGCCGCUGCUGCCGCGCACUGCCUGCUUUGGCCGAGACGAGCCCCCCGUUUCGCUCCCAUCUCGCGACACUCUGCCCACAGCUCACUCGCCUCCGUCUCUCCCCGUCAAAAAAGCCACCCCCGUCCCCCGCGCCGCGCCACCCGCCUUUGGCCUCUGGCUGGCACCCUUUCCCCCGCCUAGAAACCCGAGCUCUCCCUCUAGCCUUCUGCCGCACACUUCCGAGUUCCGAGUUCCUUCCGCCACAACAUCCACACGCAAACCUCGCGAUGGCCGCGUCGGAAUCCGUGCCGUUCUGCGUCAAAGGGGGCGGGGGCGGCGGCGGCGGCGCGCCCAGGCCGCACGGCCACCUGGUGCUCCCGGCGGGGCGGGUCCGCGAGGGGCUUGCGUUCGCGGCGGGCGCCGUGGUGGCCGCUCUCGUGCUCCUCUCCUCGGCCUCCGUCCUCGCGCCGCCGCCCGUGCCCAACAUCGUCUCCCUCCCCCUGUCGUCGUCGUCGCCCGCCAACGCCAACGCCAAAGCCGCCAUCUCUUCCUCCCCUGCCGUGGCCGUCGGCGAGGGCCCGCGCACGUUCUACGACGACAGGGAGCUGUCGUACGCCGUCGGGGGGCGGCGCGUCACGGGCUGGGACGCGAAGCGCGCGGCGUGGCUGCGGACACGGGGCCUGGACGGCGCGGCGGUCGCGGGGCGGGUGGUGAUGGUGACCGGGUCGCAGCCGGAGCCAUGCAAGGGGCCGGGGGGCGACCACGCGCUGCUGCGGUUCCUCAAGAACAAGCUGGACUACUGCCGCCUCCACGGGAUCGAGCUCCUGUACAACACCGCGCUGCUGGAGCCGUCCAUGGUGGCGUACUGGGCCAAGAUCCCCAGCGUGCGCGCCGCGAUGCUGGCGCACCCGGACGCCGAGUGGGUGUGGUGGGUGGACGCCGACGCCGUGUUCACGGACAUGGACUUCUCCCUCCCGCUGGAGCGGUACCGCGAGAGCAGCCUGGUGGUGUACGGGUGGGAGCGGGAGGUGUACGAGGAGCGGUCGUGGGUGGGGCUCAACGCCGGCGUCUUCCUCAUCCGCAACUGCCAGUGGUCGCUGGACCUCAUGGACGCGUGGGCGCGCAUGGGCCCGGCCUCGCCGGAGUACGCGCGGUGGGGGAAGACGCUGCGCGAGGAGCUGGAGGGGAAACCCAACGACGAGUCGGACGACCAGUCGGCGCUCGUGUACCUCCUGUCCAGGCACCUGGAGCGGGAGCGGUGGGCGAACGCCACGUUCCUCGAGUCCGGGUACUACUUCCAGGGGUACUGGGCGGAGAUCGUGGACAGGCUCGACGGCGUGGCCACGCGGUACGAGGCCGUGGAGCGCGGCCGCGCAGGGGGCCGGGCCGGGCUCCGCCGCCGCCACGCGGAGCGGGAGCACCUCCUGUACGCGGCGGCGCGGCGUCAGGCGGUGCGGCAGCAGCGAGGGACCGGCGGAGGCGUGCCCGGGCCGGACGGCGGCGGGCAGAAGGGCUGGCGCCGCCCCUUCGUGACGCACUUCACGGGGUGCCAGCCCUGCGGCGGCGCGCCCAACCGGAUGUACACGCGGAGGCGGUGCGCCGAGGGGAUCCGCCGCGCGCUGGCGUUCGCGGACGAUCAGGUGCUCCGCUCCUACGGCUUCCGACACGCCGCGCCGCUCAGCGACAGCGUCACGCCGCUGCCGUUCGACUACCCCGCCGCGCACUGAUGGGCGGCCGCUUCGGUGGGCGGUGGGUUCGGCAACUGGCUAUGGCUAGGUUAAUUAAAUGAGACAAAACCAUGAAUGCAAUGCAAUGUGUCAAGUCACAGUGUGUGUACUAUACAUUUUGGAUUUGGGUGUCAUCCAUAUUCGUCCAAAGACUGAAACAGUGAAACCACUGUGUGGUCUUCGUGUUCGUCGGUACUUUUAGGAAAUGUACAGCGUGUCUUGUCUUUUCCCUACACUCUCUCGCUGUUGUUGUCGUCAUGUAUCAACCCAACUUGUCAUCUCUAUCUUCGCCUCCCUCACCAAGGUUAUUUCUCACCAUAUAGAGGACAUCCACCUUUGCUCCUCGGCGAUCCUCUUGACCCGCUGUUACAACUCUCUGCUGGCAUGCACCUCUGCAGACACCAGAGCAAAACAUCCGAGAAAGAGGAGCCACUGCCGCCGGUGAUGUAUGCAGCCAUGGAGAAGAGAAAGAGGAGGUGAUCUAGAACUCGAGUUUCGUUUGCAUAUAGUAUGUGCUUGUGUGGCUCGGCUUUUUCAGAUAACCUUUUUUUGAGAAUUUGGGUGUGACGAGAAGAGGAGAAUCUAAGUAUUCUGGAGAUUACGUGUGGAGAAAGUUAAAAGAGUUUAUAGAAUUCUACUAUCGCAACGAUUCAACC
rnacentral:misc_RNA from 1 species